rnacentral:rRNA from 1 species
AGGAUGAACGCUGGCGGUCUGCUUAACACAUGCAAGUCGAACGGAGUAGCAAUACUUAGUGGCGGACGGGUGAGUAACGCGUGAGAAUCUACCUUCAGGACGGAGACAACAGUUGGAAACGACUGCUAACCCCCGAUGUACUGAAAAGGCAAAUAUUUAUAGCCUGAAGAAGAGCUCGCGUCCGAUUAGCUAGUUGGAGAGGUAAAAGCUCACCAAGGCGACGAUCGGUAGCUGGCUGAGAGGACGAUCAGCCACACUGGGACUGAGACACGGCCCAGACUCCUACGGGAGGCAGCAGUGGGGAAUUUUCCGCAAUGGGCGAAAGCCUGACGGAGCAAGACCGCGUGGGGGAAGAAGGCUCUUGGGUUGUAAACCCCUUUUCUCUGGGAAGAACACAAUGACGGUACCAGAGGAAUCAGCAUCGGCUAACUCCGUGCCAGCAGCCGC